GAUGAACGCUGGCGGCGUGCCUAACACAUGCAAGUCGAACGGAGUCCAGCCUUUAAGACCUUCGGGUCAAAGAGGGGAAGACUGAGUGGCGGACGGGUGAGUAACACGUGGGCAACCUGGCUCAUAGAGGGGGAUAACAGAGAGAAAUUUCUGCUAAUACCGCAUAAGCACACACUGCCGCAUGGCAGAGGGUGAAAAGAGAAUCGCUAUGAGAUGGACCCGCGUCUGAUUAGCCAGUUGGCAGGGUAAGAGCCUACCAAAGCGACGAUCAGUAGCCGAUCUGAGAGGAUGAACGGACACAUUGGGACUGAGACACGGCCCAAACUCCUACGGGAGGCAGCAGUGGGGGAUAUUGCACAAUGGGGGGAACCCUGAUGCAGCGACGCCGCGUGAGUGAAGAAGUAUUUCGGUAUGUAAAGCUCUAUCAGCAGGGAAGAUCAUGACAGUACCUGAAUAAGAAGCCCCGGCUAACUACGUG
rnacentral:rRNA from 1 species